rnacentral:rRNA from 1 species
UACGAAGGGUGCAAGCGUUACUCGGAAUUACUGGGCGUAAAGCGUGCGUAGGUGGUGAGUUAAGCCUGUCGUGAAAGCCCCGGGCUCAACCUGGGAAUGGCGAUGGAUACUGGCUCGCUAGAGUGCGGUAAAGGAGAGUGGAAUUCCCGGUGUAGCAGUGAAAUGCGUAGAGAUCGGGAGGAACAUCAGUUGCGAAGGCGGCUCUCUGGACCAGCACUGACGCUGAGGAGCGAAAGCCAGGGGAGCAAACGGG